rnacentral:rRNA from 1 species
UACGGAGGGUGCAAGCGUUAAUCGGAAUUACUGGGCGUAAAGCGUGCGCAGGCGGUUUGUUAAGUCUGCUGUGAAAUCCCCGAGCUCAACUUGGGAAUUGCAGUGGAUACUGGCAGGCUGGAGCAUGGUAGAGGAAGGUGGAAUUCCCGGUGUAGCAGUGAAAUGCGUAGAGAUCGGGAGGAACACCAGUGGCGAAGGCUGCCUUCUGGACCAAUACUGACGCUCAUGCACGAAAGCGUGGGGAGCAAACAGG